rnacentral:rRNA from 1 species
GGCCUGUUAAGUCAGAUGUAGAAACGGCCCGGGGACCUUUAACCGUACGGUAAGUUGCUAUUUAGUAAACGUGGCGAGGCUAGAGUCUUGUAGGAGGGGGGUAGGAAUUUCAGGUGUAGCGGUGAAAUGCGUAGAGAUCUGAAGGAAUACCAGUGGCGAAGGCGGCCCCCUGGACAAAGACUGACGCUCAGAUGCGAAAGCGUGGGGAGCAAACAGGAUUAGAUACCCUGGUAG